AAAAACCCUAGCGUCUAUCAAUUCCUCGUUCUUGUCACUUCUUCGCUUGGGUGCUCUCUUAAUCACGGAAAAUCAUGGAUCCAAAGCCAGAAGAACCUGUUGUUGCUGUUGUUACUUACAUCUGCGGAGACUGUGGUGAAGAGAACACUUUGAAGAGUGGAGAUGUGUUCAAAUGCAAAGAGUGUGGGUUCCGUGUUCUCUACAAGAAGCGUAUCCCUUAAAAACGGCGCAUACCGGCGGACUAAAUACUAAUCUUUAAUCCUUCCUUUUCAUUGUUGAUAAAAUUCUGUAAAACUUCUCAUAACUUCUCAACGAAGUUUUCUGA